CAGUAUGUUGAAGUGGACUAAGCUUGUUAUUAAGCAAAUAUUCUCUAAAACGUCUUAUAGUAAACACUCGAGGCAUAAAAUGAUUAUUUUUACGACAAAUUAGUUCAUUUCCUGACCCUAAAAGCUUGUGUGCUGUUAUUUAGAUAAUCAGUAACUCGCUGCUUUUAGCUUUUAGAUCUCCAAUGGCUGAGAAAAGGUUUCCCUUGUUCGAUAUAGUUCGCCCACAUGCAGGCAUUACAGAAAAGCCCUUUUCAAAAAACCCCUAGGAGUUGUAUGUUUUUACUAUAUCUUGCAUUUUGAUGCGAUGUGACCUGUCGAUUUGAUCUGGUCUGAUUACUAAGUAUCCCAUGCAUGAAGAAAGACUAGAGCUCUGAUCCUGGUUUUGUUGACAUUUUCAAGGACGCACCUUUGACAACUGUUCUGCCGGUUAACUUCCCCGUCAGAAGCAGAUUAUCUUGGAUUUAUCCCUAUUGUUUUGUAAAGUCAGGUUGGACAUUUCGGCAUGGCGUAUCACGAAUUUUGACUCUUUAAACACUUCAAGAUGUCGAACUCCUCAAACUCGUCUACAGCGGAGUUUUCUUGUGAUGGAAUGGGCAGACCGUCAGGCUCGGCAACAACCGUCCUUAUUGCAUUUUCUUAUGCGGUCUUAAUCCCUUUGAUCGUCUUUGGCAAUGGCCUUGUCGUUAUAGCNUUUGUUAUAAACCAAAAGCUUAGAACGGCUACUAAUAUAUUUAUUUGUGGUCUGGGUUUGAGUGACCUUCUAAUUGGUGUCUUCUCACUGCCAUACUGGACGUACAUAUCNACUUUGAAUUCNCUCAUGGAUGCNUAUUGCGAUCCGCUAUACGAAGUUUACAUUUGUAUUGAUAUAGGGACUGGAUGUGCAUCAAUACUCCAGUUGACAUCUAUAGCAAUUGAGAGACUGUAUUUCACGGUAGCCCCACUUAAACACCGUCGAUUAAGAAGGUCAGUUUACUGGUACAUGUUAGCGAUAGCAUGGAUUUUUUCCAUACUUGCAGCUGGCCUGCAACCUUUGCAGGCAAAAUCAAAUUGGCACAACCAAUACAGCUUGUUUCUCUUUGUAUCUUGUUUCCUGUUCCCNCUCAUCAUCAUCAUUGUGGUUUACGCAUACAUAUUUAAAGUCAGCAGAGAUCAAUCUCGAAGAAGAUCCAGCACGCAAANUAGAAUAGGUUCAACUGGAGGAAACAUUAAAGAAUUCAACAUGUUCGUGACGGUGCUGGUAAUCACUGGAGUGUUCAUCAUCGCUUGGGCACCAUUUUUUAUGACAACUGUCAUUGCAACCUUUUGCCCUCUUUGNAUUNUUCGAAUACAAAGUGAACACUUAAUACGCUUUGUGAAGUGGAUGCAAUAUAGUUCAAGCGCUAUUAAUCCUUAUAUCUACGCGUAUCGUAACGAAGAAGUUCGAUCCUUUUUUAAGAAGGUUUUACGGNUUUGUUUAUGCAACGGUUGUCAGGAUGUGUCUCGACGAGCGUCGCAGAGCUCCUCGAGUCAGACACAUCGUGGAAAGCAUAACAAUAACAACAAAAAUAGUUCCAGCCAGACAGCGAGUAAGGAAAGCGUGGAAAAUGGAACAAUAGUUAAUCGGCUUCCACAGAGUCUGGCCAGCGAGGAUAUUCCUGAAUGUUAUUCGCGAAGAGUGCCAAUAAGUAGCCCCAGUGACGGCAGAUUGAAAGACAUUCAGAAUUGUUUNGAUAAUCAAGGAUUCACAUAUCCAAAUGUAUCAAAGCAAAGGAAUGAUGAAAGCGAUCAAUAUGUAUCUAAAUACAAUCAGAAAAUACAAGCAAAGUCACCAGACAUUUGCACACAGGAUGCCGAACGGAAAAACACACGGNAAACUUGUNUCGAUAGUGAACGUUUGGCAAAUCCAAAUUNACCNCAGAAACGUACCGAAAAAGUGAAUAAAUCACCAGAAAGAAACUGGCAAAGAAAAGAAGAUCAUACACGAAGAUCGAAUGAAUUCCGCAAUGAAAGAAGACGCGAUUUCUCUGAAAAACAAAGCGAAAAACAAACUGAAAGACGAAAAAAAUCAAGCAAUGAUUUUGAUAANGGGNAAAUUUAUUACGGGAAUGAGGCUCCGCUAAAACGGCCUCGUGGCGUUUCUCNUUCACAACAGAGAGAAAGACAAAAAACACCCGAGGGAAGAUCGUAUGAUAACAGUACAGAAACAGGCGAUGGUAAAAAACGUCAUUCCGUCGGUCGGCAUAGUGAUCACUUCCAGUCAAGACAAUCCUAUCAAAAUUCAAAUUAUAGAAGUGAAAAGCGUAAUCGCCAUCAUGUUCGUGGCUUUGAUAACCCAGUCGACAUCACGCAUGAAAUGAGUAGCACAUAUGUAUGAAGACAUAAAAAAAAGACAGCAUCUUUCGCAAUAUUCCGCGUACUGUAAGAAGGUCUCUUCGAAAAUGCUCUCCGGUGCCAUCCAUUUUACUGGCAGCCUUCGGCGUUCCUG
rnacentral:misc_RNA from 1 species